UACAGAGGGUGCUAGCGUUGUUCGGAAUCAUUGGGCGUAAAGGGCUCGUAGGCGGUUCGUCACGUCGGGGAGUGAAAACUCGGAGCUUAACUCCGAGCCUGCUUCCGAUACGGGCAGACUAGAGGUAGGCAGGGGAGAGCGGAAUUCCCAGUGUAGGAGGUGAAAUUCGUAGAUAUUGGGAAGAACACCGGUGGCGAAGGCGGCUAUCUGGACCGACAUUGACGCUGAGGCGCGAAAGCGUGGGGAGCAAACAGG
rnacentral:rRNA from 1 species